AUCUUGGCGACAGAAGUAUUGCAAAUUUCGAAAAUUCCCAGAAAUAUUUUUCUGAAUGCACAGAAUUAAGCGCAAAACAAUAAUAAGACAAGUCUGUUCGUGUGCGGAUUUGUGUGUCUGUAUGUGAGAAGCUCAAGAAGUCGCCUGUCAAAUGGCCAAAAGGCAACACAUGGGGCCAUCAAACGUUUAUCGUGAACACACAAAAUUCACCUCAAUGGCACACGCACACAUAUCGUCCUUACACAUACACACAUACAUAUCAGGCACACAGCUCCGGAUGCGAAAGAACUCCCCAAGCGCUUAUUUGAAAAACGUUUUAUUUUUAUUGCAAGACUCCCAAGCGACGAGUGCUCAGUGUCAGUGAAUGUCAUUUCAGCUUGCGACUCACCUACAUACCUCUGCUCUGGCUCGCCCGCCUCCCCCAGGCUCCCAUUGCAACCAUCCAUUCAGACACUAAUCUCCAACCUCGAAAGAGAAACCAUAUAAGCGACGCCCACCAGCAAAGCGAAUAAACCGCCAAAACUCAAACAAACUUAAACAGGAUAAUAACAUGGAUUUUUGUUGUAUUAACGACAUUUGAAUACCCUAUCGUAACUCUACAAAGCCACAAAAAUAAAGCCUGUUUGCGGCAAGAGGCAUUGCAUGAGGGGCAUGUUUUUUGCAAACCGCUCAAAAUCGGAUGUCAGAAAAGCCAAGGGGGUAACCGAAUGUUGAGGGUUGAAGAGGGACAGGGAUAAGUUUAGCAGCAUCCAGGCGAUGCCAAUCUGUUGUUUGGGACCGUGCCGGCUUAUGACAUAUUAAAAGCGGAUCAAGCUCGAGGAACAGAAGACUCUGACUAGCUCAAGGGAAGCCGGAAAGGGGACGACGACAAUUUGAAUUUCUGUCGUUGAAAAUAUUCAGAACGAAAAUUAAAAUGUUGAUGGUUAAUAAGAUGCAUUUUUGCUGGCAUUCGACAGCAGCAAAAAGCAAGGGAAGUUGAAGUUGAAGUCAAAGUCAAAUGCGGAUCAGGUUCGAGGAACAGAUGACUCUGAUUACCUACAAAAAAAAUGCCUGAAAGAGGUGAUAACGAGUUGAGCUUCUAUUGCUGCAAGUAUUCAAAAUUAAAAUUUAAAUUAAAAUGUUAA
rnacentral:sRNA from 1 species